AACACUAUAUGUCAUGUGUAGUAUUGAGUAUAAAAACUAGAACCGCAACUGGUUCCCAAAAGCAAAAGUUAUGUUUCCUUGUUAGAAGAUACAAAGCCAAAGACUCAUACGGACUUCGGCUACACCAUGAAAAUUUUGAGAAGCAAUAAGAAGCUUGGUUAGUGUUUUGGAGUCAAAUAUGACUAGAUGUCAUGUGUAUGAUUGAGUAUAAGAACUAGAAUGGCAACCGAUUCCCAAUAGCUAAAGUUAUGUUUCCUUGUUUGAAGAUACAAAGCUAAAGACUCAUACGGACUUCGUGUACACCAUCAAAAUUUUGAGAAGCAAUAAGAAGCC
rnacentral:sRNA from 1 species